UUCUUCGACCUUGGCCACCCUCUCCUCAACCGCAUCGCCGAGAGCUUUGUCAAAGCCGCUGGGAUUGGAGCAAUUCAGGCGGUGUCUCGUGAGGCUUAUUUCACUGCAAUUGAAGGCAGUGAACUUGAUUCAAGUGGUGUGCCGCCAGAGCUCCCUACCUCUACUGAUUCCAAGAAGCGCCACCGAUUUCCUGACCUCAGAGGAGAAACUAACAGAAAAUCUCUUGAAGCAUUGGUGAAGAGCACGGGAAAAGAAUCCUUACAGUGGGGACUGGCUGCUGGG
rnacentral:misc_RNA from 1 species